rnacentral:rRNA from 1 species
GGAUCAAUAUAUCGGUCGUGCCAUCGGUACGUACUGGUAUGAUUGGUUUCUCCUUUCUGACGAACCAUGAUGUCAUUAAUUUGGUGUUAUGGGAAGUUAGGACUGUUACUUUGAAAAAAUUAGAGUGUUUAAAGCAGGCUUUAGCUUGAAUACAUUAGCAUGGAAUAAUGAAAUAGGACGUUUGAUUCUAUUUUGUUGGUUUCUAGGAUCGACGUAAU